UACGGAGGAUGCAAGCGUUCUACGGAAUUAUUGGGUUUAAAGGGUGCGUAGGCGGUAUGCUAAGUAAGUGGAGAAAGCCUGUGGCUCAACCAUAGAACUGCCAUUGAUACUGUUAUUCUUGAGUAUAGUUGAAGUGAGUGGAAUGUGUAAUGUAGCGGUGAAAUGCUUAGAUAUGACACAGAACACCAAUUGCGAAGGCAGCUCUCUAAGCUGUUACUGACGCUGAGGAAUGAAAGCGUGGGGAGCACACAGG
rnacentral:rRNA from 1 species